UACGAGGGGGGCAAGCGUUGUUCGGAAUCAUUGGGCGUAAAGGGCGCGUAGGCGGCGCCGUAAGUCGGGCGUGAAAUUUCGGAGCUUAACUCCGAAACUGCAUUCGAUACUGCGGUGCUUGAGGACUGGAGAGGAGACUGGAAUUCAUGGUGUAGCAGUGAAAUGCGUAGAGAUCAUGAGGAAGACCAGUGGCGAAGGCGGGGCUCUGGACAGUUCCUGGCACUGAGGCACGAAGGCCAGGGGAGCAAACGGG
rnacentral:rRNA from 1 species